AAAAGAUUUGGAAAUCUGGUCAAGAUUGAAACUUUCCUUGUUGGGUCGAAUUGCUGCUAUAAAAAUGAAUGUAUUGCCGAAAAUGUUAUUUUUGUUUCAAACCCUACAGAUUGUGGACAGAGUGGAAUGUUUUGGAAAGUGGCAGAAGGAUAUAUCCAAGUUUGUCUGGCAGGGCAAAAGCCCCGGAUAAAGUUUAAAAUACUAACUGAUUUGAAAGAAAGAGGGGGGUUUGCCCUGCCGGACUUGAGAUUAUAUUAUGAAGCUGCGGCCUUCUGCUGGAUGAAAGAUUGGUUACUUCUUGAGAACACUGAUGUUCUAGAUCUGGAAGGGUUUGAUAAUGCUUUUGGUUGGCAUGCAUAUUUGUGGUACGACAAGGUAAAGGUUCAUAAAAUGUUCAAAAAUCAUAUUGUUAGAAAAUCAAUAUUUAUGGUCUGGACAAAAUACAAGGACUUAUUAGAGGGUAAGACUCCGAGGUGGCUUUCACCAGCAGAGGCCAAGGCCCGGAAAAACCUAAUAUGGAGGUUGGUUGGCUGAAAUAUGGGGAAAUUAUAGAAAAAGUAGGAGAAACUUGGAGGCUGCAGAGUUAUGAAAAAUUAAAGAAUAAGGUGCAAAAUUGGCUUCACUAUGCUCAAAUUCAAGAGGUUUUUAAGCUGGACAAAAGAACAGGUUUCCAGGUGGAAAAAUCGAAACUAGAGACAGAAUUGUUGGAACCAAAGACCAAGGUACUUUCGAGAAUGUAUAUCUUGCUGCUUAAAUGGAACACUCAGGAUGAGACAGUCAAAUCAGCCAUGAUAAAAUGGGCUCAGGACAUUGGGUACAACAUUAUGUUUGAAGACUGGGAAAGGUUAUGGACCACUGGUAUGAAAUUCACGGCAUGUAAUGCCUUGAAAGAGAAUAUUAUGAAAAUGAUAUACAGGUGGUACAUGACCCCAGUCAAGCUUGCUAAGAUAUAUCAUUUGUCUGAUAAUAAAUGUUGGAAAUGUAAGGAGGCUGAAGGGACAUUCUUUCACCUCUGGUGGACUUGCCCAAAAGUGAAGGCCUUCUGGGAAAUGAUCUAUAACGAGUUAAAAAAGUGUUUAAGUACACUUUUCCCAAGAAACCAGAGGCCUUCCUACUGGGCAUUGUCGGUCAGAAGGUGUUAAAGAAGGAUAGAACCUUUUUAUGUAUGCAACUACAGCAGCAAGAAUUCUUAUCGCAAAAUACUGGAAGACUCAAGAUUUACCCACGCUGGAAGAGUGGCAGACGCAAUUGAUGGGCUACAUGGAAUUGGCCGAGAUGACUGCCAGGAUCCGAGAUUUGGAGGAAGAAGCAAUGGAGGAGGAUUGGAAAAAUUUAAAGAUUAUUUACAAAAAUUUUAUAAGUUAUAUGAAUGUUAAGAAUUCGCAUGAUUAGGGAAAUUCAGCUCCAGCAAUAAGAUUAAGGUAUGGGAAACUAAGCUAUAUUAAUGAAAGGACUAACGUUUAAAAGAACAUUAUAUAUAUUAUUAGUGUAAAUUGACAAUAAGCAUUUUAAACGCAAAUCACAAGUAUUUGAAAGAACAAAAGAAUGCACGAAAUAAGGUUAUAAUUUGCUGAAAAAUUUUAUUGUAAAGAACGCAAGGUGAGGGGGACGGGGGGAAGUCCGGUUGGUUAUGGAAAAAUGUUUUGAAAAGAUGAUUUUCUUCUUUUUCUUUCUUUUUUCUGUUAUUUCUUUGUAUAUCUGACCUUGUAUUUCUAUCUGGAAAAAUGCAAUAAAAAAUAUUAUAAAAAAAAAAGCAAAAAAAAAAGCAGUGCAUUCAGGAUGCACAGUUUGGGGUGGGGUAUUUUGGUUUCCCCCCUCUCAGGCCCCCACAUUUCUUGGCCUUUCUCUCUGUCAGGCAUCCAGCCCAGACAGGGUCAAGCGACCACAUAGACUUUUUAUCAGCUAUUUAAACACGGCAUACAUUUAACCUCGCUUUGGGCUGUCUGACUGGACCUUUGCACAGCGGGUGAGAAGAGGACGAUGGACUCAGCUAUUGGGGGUACUGAUAAAGCCUGCUCAAAAAUCAAGGUCCCUUCAUUCACCCCUCUCUGUCCCCAGGGACUCUGAUGCAGGGACUGUCUUCCGAUUUGGCAGGCUGGGAGGACUGCACCAUUAUUAGACUUGGGAGACUUUACUCCUGCCAAAUUAUCUUCCAACCACCAAAGAGGAAGAUCUGUUCUGCACAUUGGAACAGGGUUUGCUUACCUCUGGCCCUCCAGAUGUUUUUUGACUCAAGCUCCCAUCAGCCCCAGCCAGCAUGGCCAAUAAAUUAUCCAGCAAUCAUCUGGAGAGCCACAGAUCACCCCCCACCCAAAAGAAAACUUUUUAUGCCAGGGAUGGGUAACAAUUUUAAGUCCAAGGGCCACAUUCCCUUAUAGGCAAACUUCUGAGGGCCACAUGUGAAUAGUGGGUGGGAUCAGAAGCAAAAGUGAGCGGAGCAAUGAAUUUGAGUUUUGCCUUUGUCCAGUACGUUGAUUCCUAAACACACUCACACUUCCCUCUCUAUCCUCUGUCCAGACAAGGAACAGCCAUCAUCAGAUGGACACAUUCCAGCGAUGCAAAAAUACUUGAGUACAGAGCAGAGUCUGUGAGGGGUGUGGCUUGUAGAAAGUCCUGAGGGCCAAAUGGAGAGGCCUGGGGGCCACAUUCAGACCCUAAGCUUGGAGUUCCAAACCCUUGCUAAUAGGGGAUUAGACCAAUUGACAGAGGAUAAGUCUUUCAGUGGCCACACCAUGUGUAGAUUAGGCACAAGACAUUGCACUCCCUUCCUUCUGCACUUCUACUUCUGUUGCUGCCUCUCCCUCUCCCUGACCUGAACAGUUUUUGCUGCCGCCACCAGCGCUCUCAAAAAGUGCUCCCAAAAUUACAGGGGCCAUGUCACCUCUCGCCCCGUUGCCAUGCUCUGAGAAAAGGGUCUGACAUGGGUGGUGGUGAGGAGCAAAGAUUUAGUCUGCUGAAGCAAACAGAAAUGACUAAAGACCCUAGCAGCUCCUUAAACGAGGAACAAAUAGCAUUUAGCAAAUUAACUUUUAACAUGUCUACCCUGAAAUAAAUCCCCUGGAAUUUAACAAGGUUUUUGCCCAGCUAAGUGAGUAUAGAAUUAAACUAUUAAUUGUCUUUUAAGUAGUUGUAGUUUUUUAAUAGCAUUUUCUAUUUAAAGUGGCCAAAGAUUAUUUUGUUAUUUUUAGACAUGGGACUUAUUUGUGGAGCUAAUUAGCCCCCUUGUUUUUGCACAGCUUCUGGACUUUUCUGGAUCAAUCAGGCUGCAGGACGGCGGCGCUGUUGGCGCUGCGUUCGUUUCACUCUGGCUUCCUGCUGUGGGUUGCAGAAUGGAGGCAGGGUGCAAUUGCUUAUCGCAUGUGAGCAAAAGGAAGGAACGUUCUUCUGUGGUAUAUACAAUGACGCACCCUCCACGCCACAUCUGCUUUGAGGAGUACCAGCUGGAGUCAAGGCAAGGAAUCCAAAAGGGGCCAGAGGCGCCUGGGGAGCUCUCCUGAGCAAGCUCUGGGCACUCUGGGGGUCUCUGCCAACCCAAGGGCCGCAAUCCUUCAUGGGCAACCUUCCAAGGGCCACAUGCCAGUGAUGGGCAGGGCAACAACUGUUACUUCUCUAUGUACAAUAGGUGACAGUCCAGCCACACAAAAAGGAGAUGUUUCUACAGGCCCAUGGCAAGCUAUGUGUUUCUUUUUAAGCCAUGCAAGGGCUAAAAAUGCAGAUAACAUUGUGUCUAAGUGGGCCUUCAUCUGCUUGCAGUAGCCGGCAGCAGAGGGCAAACCCCAGCUGGACACUUUAAAGAGCCCUGUGCUUCCAACAAAGCUUUCUCAGCUUGGAUGAACAGAGUUCACAUCCUAACUAUACAUUUAAAGCACUCUUAGUCAUGGAGAAUCCUGGGAACUGUAGUUUAUUAAGGGUGUGUGCACACUCAGAGAAUGACCUCCAAACCCUCCUAAACAUCUCCGCAGACGCUUACGAAAAGCUUGGCCUAUCGCUCAACAUUCAAAAACCCAAAGUGCAGUACCAACAAGUACAAAACAACCACUCUGCAGUGCCACAAAUCCACUCAAUGGUGUAAUGUUGGAAAGUGUCAAUCACUUCUCCUACCUGGGCAGUUAUCUUUCCACAAGGGCUGACACUGAUGCCGAAAUCCAGCAUCGCCUGAGCUCUGCGAGGUCAGCUUUCUUCCAAUUGAAGUGCAGAGUGCUUGAGGACCAGGACAUUUGCAGGGAAACCAAAAUGCUCAUUUACAAAGUUAUUGUACUACCAACCUUACUGUAUGCUUGUGAAACGUGGACCUCUUAUAAACGCCAUCUCCAACUCCUUGAAAGAUUCCAUCAACAGUGUCUCAGAAAAAAAUUACACAUCACUUGGGAAGACAGGCGAACUAAUGACAGUGUACUGGAAGAAGCAAAGUUCACCAGUGUCAAAGCAACGAUUCUUCAACAUCAACUUUGUUAGACUGGUCACGUUGUUUAGAUGCCUGAUUAUCGUCUUCCAAAGCAACUACUCUAUUCCGAACUUAAAAAUGGAAAGCGUAGUGCUGGUGGUCAACAAAAGAGGUUUAAAGACUCUCUCAAGGCAAAUCUAAAAAAAAGUAGUAUAAACACCAAGAAUUGGGAAAAACUGGCCUGCAAGUGCUCCAAUUGGAGAACAGCCUUUACCAAAGCUGUCAUGGACUUUGAAGACGCUCGAACUCAGGACGAAAGGGAGAAAUGUGCUAAGAGAAAGGCACAUUUGGCAAACCCUCACUGUGAUCAACUCCUGUCCAGAAACCUAUGUCCCCACGGUGGAAGGACGUGUGGAUCCAGAAUUGGCCUCCACAGUCACUUAUGGACUCAUUGCUAAGACCAUGUUUAUGGAAGACAAUCUUACUUGGCUACGAGUGAUCGCCAGAGAAGAAGAAUGGGGGUCAGGCCUACCAGGGAUCAGCUGCUGUGCUCAUUAGGCCUGACACCCUGCCUAGUGCAGAUCAUAUUUUUAGUAAUAAAGAGUUAACUCCAACUAGCAUGAUGUGAUUUACUGCUGGCUCGCUUUUGACAGUGGAAGACAUUCAGUAAAAUAAAACUACCAUUUUUAAGCUUUUGGGGCCCUUCCAGGCGACCUGUUAGUAUACAUCUUGAUUUGCUUACAUGGUGAUUAGACUAUUCCGAUUUGAUCAUUGGGAGGUUAUGCAAUAAUGAGCAUUUAUCCUGACUUACUUGCAUGCUAUGUUUACACAUCUUCCCAUUAACCAUUAGUUCAUCCCAUACUUUUCAUUAAAUUUCCCUGUGACGUUCCUAACCACAAAAGAUCCAGUUGUUCCUUUUAAGUGGAUCUGUUGUCCUAGGGCAACAGAGAACCUUAAUUCACUUUAAUUACACAACCCUAGUGUUCAAGAAUGGGCUUGAAUCCUUCCCUUAAAAUACUGACAGUCUGGAGGCAGCUUUUAUGACUUGAAAGAAAGAAAGAAAAAAUGUGAUGAUGGUUCUUCAACAUCAAUAUCUGUAUAAAUACCCUAACAGUCCAAAGCUCUUUGGGGCUUUUGGCUGCUAUCAACAGACAUUGUCAAUCAUUUAGCAAAUGUCAUGUGUAAUCUGCCUGAUAAAUUCUGCUUUGGUUUCUUGGGUUCAGAAUAUACACAGGAAACCUCCAGGCUGCUGCAACCACAUGCCUAUUAUACAAACAAUUGUUUCUGAGAAGAGGAAUUCUUAUUAGGCAAUAGUCCUGAUCUCCACCCAAACCAAGCUAAGCCAAGCACAUAGCAUUAGCAUCAAUUUUAAAAAAGCAAGUCUGGAUAUCGACAGAGAGGGCUACAGUUUGCAAGCUUGGUUUGCAUGGAUAAAAAGUGCCAAAUCCAGAGCCUGGCAUCUCCAUUCCAAGGCUGCCUCUCAAGUACCAGAGCUGGGGAGAUCUUUUCUGUAAAAGCUCCUGCAGAGCCAAUCUGGGUAUCACAGAAUUGGAUCACAGAAUUGGAUAAGGUUUUGUAGGUGAUCUAGCAUGGAAUAUUAGGUGGCUCUUAGACAAAAUUCUGGCAGCUAUAGACUGAAGUGGAGAUACAUUGUGCUGAAACUCUCUGUUUGAAGCCCACCCCCUAGUUUCAAAAUGAGCUGCAGGGAUUAUCACCUAAUCUUCCUCCACACACUCCAUCAUCCAAAGCAUAUGGACUAGAAACAUAAUUUUAAAAACAUUCUCCAAAUGUAAACUGCUAUUUACAGAAUGCUGAAAAACAAAACAAAAAAACCCUGAAUUUCAUUAGAGGCCAUGCUUCUAUUUAGUCUUGAAGGAGCUGCAAAAUCAGCAUCACUUCCUGAGUCUUACAAUGUAAUGUUUUUUCCAAGACAUAAGUAUUUCAAGCUUGAUAUGUCUUGUAAUAUUUUUGUAACAUGGGCCUAUUUUUAAGGAUGGUCCCAUAACUAUUUUUUUUAAAAAGGUAAAAAAAAGCACUUGAGAUAUAUGCAACGGAUAAAAGAAGACAUUGCAUAAUUGUGCCUGUGGAGUGUGACUGGUAAAAAUUGGGUGCAUUAAGAAUGGUUAUGAACUGUUAAGGAACAGCAUUGUUGAAAUCCCCAGUUCUCAAAUAGAUUACUCUUGCUCACAAGUUGCUGAGCGAGAAAAACCUGCUGGCUGUUGUCAUCCAGAGGCUCACGUGUAACUUGUCUCCCACACAUGUAGAAGCGACUCUUAGCUUUAUUAAAACUGAAAAAUAGCUCCCGAAGGCUGCCAAUGGGAAUGGAGAACCAGGGGUGCAAGCAUCUGCUUAAUCCUUUCCCUCCAGCUGUUUUUCUGCUCAAAAUCAAUCCCUCCAGUUGCUUUUCCACCCAAAGGGAAAAGAGAAUUAUGCUGCUGUUCCUCUGUUCCCCAUCAGUCUCCUGUGACUGCUUUUUCUUACAAACAAAACAAGAAACUGUUGUGGACAUCUCUGAUGGAGCCCCAGGAGACUUUGGCCAAAACCAGGCAAUGGAUGGCUGGCUGGCUUUUCAUUGGCGCUGGCUGCUAAUCUGAGGGGGUUCUUGGCAAAGGGACCUUGGUUAUUAUAUAACAGGUUCCCCUCCCUGCCCCCUGAUUUGUGGGACAGAAUACCAUAUAACAAAGCAGUGGGUUUUAUUUUAUUUUUAAAGUGACAGAGCCCGUGUGGGUGCCUGCCUCCCAGUAGCUGCCAUUUUUAUUUAUCUGCAAUGCCCCCAAAUACUGUGUCAGUCAAAGACAUUGUAGGGGAAACAAAAUGGUAGCUACAAUAAAAACUUAAGAACAUAAGGUGAGCUUGGUGGGAUCAGACCAAAGGCCCAGGAUCCUGCUUUUACAAUGGCCAAGCAGAUCCCUAUGUGACGCGAAAGAACAGGGCCGAGGCUCAACAGCAACUCUCUCCAAUUUCAACUCCUAGCAACUAUUCAGCAGCAUAUUGUCUUUGACACUGGAGGCAGAACAUAGUCAUUAUGUCUAGCAGCCAUUGACAGCAUUAUCCUCCAUAAAGAGGAUGGGUAUCAUAUCACAGGUGGAACAGACUCCCUCGAGAGAUGGUGGACUCAUUGGAGGCUUUAAAGCAGAAAUUGGACAGCCAACAGUCCUGGAUGCUUUAGCUGAGAUUCCUGCAAUGCGGGGGAUUGAACUAGAUGACCCUCAGUGGCCCUUCCAAGUCUACAAUUUUAUGAUUCCUCCCUUGCAAUGCUCUGGACUGCCUGAGGCAUUCCAGCAAAACAAAAUGGCAGCCACCAGCUGAAUUAUGACUGCUAUACCUAGGUCUGCCCUGCAAGCAGUGCGGGGGGCUGAGGCCAUGCAGGCAGCAGUGUGAGGGGGCUCUACCAAGGUGCCAGGGCCAGAUGUUGGAUCUGCUUCUCAUCUACUGUAUGCAGGAAUAUGUUCCUCCUCAGAAAGCUGCCUGCACACUGAUGUUGGGAGACCCUGUGGAGCCUUUUCCUCACCAGUGGUCAGAUUGUGACACCCCCACCCCCCAAAAAAGACACAGCUGAUCACAAAUUGGGAGAGUCAAAUGGCAGGUCAAAAUUGCCUUCCUUAGGUCUGCCUUUCACAGAACUGUUUGUUGAUUUCAGUUCCUUCUGGAUUCCCCUAGUUUGGUUGCUGGUAAGCUUUGUUACCGCUGCUGGAUAAUUAUUUGACAUUUUCCUUUAAACUGCAUUUUUGUUUUAAAUGGUGGUGUUGCUAAGUUGUCUUCCUUGAAAUCCACUCUCCGGGGAAAAAAUGAAAGUUAUGAGUUUGCAGGUACCAGAAUUUAGAAGUGCCAGACUCCCAUCAUUCAUGAAUUUAGUAAGUGUUAGAAUUUAACCAAUGCUUGAAGAAUCACUAGAAGUCAGAUUCUUAACAGCUGGACUCAGCUACUGUGUCAGGAGAUUGCCUGAGAAAUAGGUCAUUAACAGAGAACAAAGACAAGGAAAUGGGCUAUCAGCAAAGCAAAGACCCGGUGCCAGCCCCGCCCUGAGAUAGUGAGCAGAGACAAAAGGAGAGCAGUUGUUUAAGGUUGCAGUGGUGAUGAUUUUCCCUAGCAGAAAAGGUUCCAGUUUGUUGCAGCAAGUUGGAGAGAGGAGCUGGAGCACAAUGUGGACUGCCUGUUUGAAUCAUAAGGUUGCAGCAAUGGGAGAGAAAGGACUCUCUUGGAGUGCAGUGCUUUGAACCCCUCCUUCGUAGGCUCAGGUCAUAUAUAUGUACAGUGGUAC
rnacentral:lncRNA from 1 species